rnacentral:rRNA from 1 species
GACGAACCGUACGAACGUUAUUCGGAAUCACUGGGCUUAAAGGGUGCGUAGGCUGCGCAGCAAGUUGGGUGUGAAAUCCCUCGGCUUAACCGAGGAACUGCGCCCAAAACUGCUGUGCUCGAGGGAGAUAGAGGUGAGCGGAACUUAGGGUGGAGCGGUGAAAUGCGUUGAUAUCCUAAGGAACACCGGUGGCGAAAGCGGCUCACUGGAUCUCUUCUGACGCUGAGGCACGAAAGCUAGGGUAGCGAACAGG